AUUGAACGCUGGCGGCAGGCCUAACACAUGCAAGUCGAGCGAGCGGCGGACGGGUGAGUAAUGUUUGGGAAUCUAGCUUAUGGAGGGGGAUAACUACGGGAAACGGUAGCUAAUACCGCGUACCAUAGGAUGAGCCCAAGUGGGAUUAGGUAGUUGGUGGGGUAAAGGCUCACCAAGCCGACGAUCUCUAGCUGGUCUGAGAGGAUGACCAGCCACACUGGGACUGAGACACGGCCCAGACUCCUACGGGAGGCAGCAGUGGGGAAUAUUGCACAAUGGGCGCAAGCCUGAUGCAGCCAUGCCGCGUGUAUGAAGAAGGCCUUAGGGUUGUAAAGUACUUUCAGCGGGGAGGCGUUACCCGCAGAAGAAGCACCGGCUAACUCCGUGCCAGCAGCCGCGGUAAUUC
rnacentral:rRNA from 1 species